rnacentral:rRNA from 1 species
GUUGAACGCUGGCGGCAUGCUUUACACAUGCAAGUCGAACGGCAGCGCGGGCUUCGGCCUGGCGGCGAGUGGCGAACGGGUGAGUAAUACAUCGGAACGUGCCCAGUAGUGGGGGAUAGCUCGGCGAAAGCCGGAUUAAUACCGCAUACGACCUGAGGGUGAAAGCGGGGGAUCUUCGGACCUCGCGCUAUUGGAGCGGCCGAUGGCAGAUUAGCUAGUUGGUGGGGUAAAGGCCUACCAAGGCGACGAUCUGUAGCUGGUCUGAGAGGACGACCAGCCACACUGGGACUGAGACACGGCCCAGACUCCUACGGGAGGCAGCAGUGGGGAAUUUUGGACAAAGGGCGAAAGCCUGAUCCAGCAAUGCCGCGUGUGUGAUGAAGGCCUUCGGGUUGUAAAGCACUUUUGGCGGGAACGAAAAGGACUGUGCCAAUACCACGGUUCGAUGACGGUACCCGCAGAAUAAGCACCGGCUAACUACGUG